AUGUUCUCUGUAGCUGUGCUGCUGCUGCUGGCUGCUGGAUCCUGUGUAAAGUGUGAAACGCUGACUCAGCCAGCCUCUGUGACUGUGCAGCCAGGUCAACGUCUGACCAUCAACUGUCAGGUCUCUUAUUCUCUUAGCAGCAGUACAAAUUGGAUCAGACAGUCUGCAGGGAAAGGACUGGAGUGGAUUGGAGCUCAAUGUGCUGGAUGCACUGCAGUUUACAAAGAUUCACUGAAGAACAAGUUCAGUAUCGAUGUAGACUCUUCCAGCAAAACAGUGACUCUAAACGGACAGAAUGUGCAGCCUGAAGACACUGCUGUGUAUUACUGUGCC